rnacentral:rRNA from 1 species
UACGAAGGGGGGCUAGCGUUGUUCGGAAUUACUGGGCGUAAAGGGCGCGUAGGCGGCCCUCUAAGUCGAACGUGAAAUCCCCGGGCUCAACCCGGGAACUGCGUCCGAUACUGGAAGGCUUGAAUCCGGGAGAGGGAUGCGGAAUUCCAGGUGUAGCGGUGAAAUGCGUAGAUAUCUGGAGGAACACCGGUGGCGAAGGCGGCAUCCUGGACCGGCAUUGACGCUGAGGCGCGAAAGUCAGGGGAGCAAAGCGGG